rnacentral:tRNA from 1 species
GCUUACUUGGUGGAAUUGGUAGACACGAGAGACUUAAAAUCUCUUUUCUUUUUUUAGAGUAUUGGUUCAACUCCAAUAGUAAGUA